CCUACGGGAGGCAGCAGUGAAGAAUAUUGGUCAUUGGGCGCAACCCUGACCCUGCGACGUAGCGUGAAGGAUUGCUGCCCUUCGGAUUGUAAACUUCUUUUAUAAAGGAAUAAAUUAAGACGCGUGUACCUUUUUAUGUAUACUUUGUGAAUUCUGCUCGGCUAACUCCGUUCAAGCAGCGGCGGUAAUCCGGAGGCUCCGAGCGUUGUCCGGAUUUGUUGGGUGUAAAGGGAGCGUAGAGGGGUUGUUAAGUCAGUUGUGAAAGUUUGCGGCUCAACCGUAAAAUUGCAAUUGAUACUGGCAGUCUUGAGUACAGGUGAGGGAGGCGGAAUUCGUGGUGUAGCGGUGAAAUGCGUAGAUAUCACGAAGAACACUGAUGGCGAAGGCAGGUUACUAAACAGUAACUGACAUUGAGGCUCGAAAGUGAGGGGAUCAAACAGGAUUAGAUACCCUUGUAGUC
rnacentral:rRNA from 1 species